AUCAAUACACUUAAUAACAAGUAAGUGUACAACUACAUUAACAACUAGAUACAAUAAUGGAAUUAAGUGAUACCAAAUUCUAAUAUGAAUAAUAACCAAAAAUUCUACUUAUUGCAACAAGUAAGACUUUAAAAAACUUCAAAAUUUAUAACUAAAGGUGAGUGGAUCCAUAAUCUAUUAAAGAAUAAGUACUAUGAAGUUGCAAUAUUUAGCAUCAACAAGGUUGCCUACAAAUAGAGUAUGAAAUAAGAUAUCUUUCACUUCCAACACCUGUUACUUAUAGGUGGUGGUUGCUAUCUUAAUCAACAACUUCCAUCCUUUGAUGAAUACAUCCAUCUAAUAUUUUAUGGAGACUAUCCAUCCAUCCAACAUUCUCUCGAGACUAUAUAUUGUUAUUUUAUCUAUUAUAAAAAUAUUCUUUUAGCAUAUUUUGUAUACUUGUAAGAUCCUUGGUCCUUUCAUUUAUUUUAUUUUUUAGCCUUCUUACAUAUCAAGAGCCAAUUCUUUAACUAAUAGCAACUUAUUUAAGGUAAUAUCUUCUACAAGAUAACUUAUUUUAUUUUUAUUUUUACUUACUUACUUUAAUAAAAUACACUUGACAAUAAAUUUCUUUAAUCCUUGAGUUAGUCGUGAAGUACCUAACUUUGUACCUUUCUUCAAAGAAAUUAUUUCUACCUUCAAUUCUCUCAUACUCCUCAUCAACUCAUCAAAGAUUUCUUCAUCUACAUUCUUAUUCUUUAAAGAGCUUGAUGGAGUAAGAGUGAACAAAGUUGUUGUUGGAACUUUCAUAUCUUUCAUUGGUAUAGCUUCUAUCCUUGCCCCAAAUCGUGUAGACUUUAUACGUUGUUGUUUAGCAAUGAGACUCACUGCCUCUUUCAACCUUCUCCAAUUAGUAGUAUAACCACCUUCUAUUGUUUCAUCUUAAAAAAAGAAAAAUAAUCUAUCCUCUAAUAUCUCAUCUAUAGCUUGUAGGAACAACUCUAAUUUUUUCAUACUAAAAGGCGCUUCUCAAAUAAUGGGGGUUGUCUAAAUUUCUUCUCAAACUCUCUUAGAAACUUAUUUAAUUUCAUAUAUUUAUUUGAUUAUUACUCCACUCAAUCAAGAAAACUUCUCUUAGUCAUCCUUUCACUAUUAUCAUCAAAGUAUUCAUUUUUCAAUCUCUCUUCAAAUCUAAUCCAUGUUUUUAUAUCAAUACUUCCAUG
rnacentral:lncRNA from 1 species